AGGGAGGAGGAGCCUGGCCUGCGGUCCCUUCCCUCCCCACCCCCUUUUAGGGGUUCUUUGGUGGGCGUGGGGUCGGGGGGGAGGGUGGGGCUUUUUAGAGUGCUGGGGAACUUUUUCCCCUUCUUCUGGCUCGGGGAAAGGGAAUGCCCAAUUCCGAGAGACAUGGGGGUAAGAAGGACGCGAGCGGAGGAGCUUCUGGAACUUCGCAGCCGUCAUCGGGAGGUGGCAGCUCCAACAGCAGGGAGCGUCACCGCUUGGUGUCGAAGCACAAGCGGCAUAAGUCCAAGCACUCCAAAGAUACGGGGUUGGUGACCCCCGAAGCAGCAUCUUUGGGUACAGUGAUCAAACCUUUGGUGGAGUAUGAUGACAUCAGCUCGGAUUCAGACACCUUCUCGGAUGACAAGUCCUUCAAAUCAGACAGGAGGGAGAAUGAUGAGCGUCGUGGAACGGAUCGGAGUGACCGCCUGCACAGACAUCGUCACCACCAGCACCGGCGGUCUCGAGACUUGCUAAGAACUAAGCAGACCGAGAAAGAAAAAAACCAGGAAGUCUCCAAAUCUGGGUCCACGAAGGACCGGAUAUCAGGAAGUUCAAAGCGUUCAGCGGAGGGGAGUGAUGACUAUGGGAAGGCACAAGUAUCCAAAAGCAGCAGCAAGGAAUCCAGGUCAUCCAAACUCCACAAGGAGAAGACCCGGAAAGAACGUGAGUUGAAGUCCGGGCACAAGGACCGGAGUAAAAGUCAUCGGAAAAGGGAAACACCCAAAAGAUACAAAACGGUGGAUAGCCCCAAACGGAGAUCCAGGAGUCCGCAUAGGAAAUGGUCUGACAGUUCCAAGCAAGAUGACAGCCCUUCAGGAGCGUCUUAUGGCCAAGACUACGACCUUAGCCCCCCAAGGUCUCACACUUCUAGCAAUUAUGACUCUUACAAGAAGAGUCCUGGGAGUACUUCAAGAAGGCAGUCAGCCAGCCCACCUUACAAAGAGCCUUCUGCUUACCAGUCCAGCGUUCGCUCACCCAGCCCCUACAGUAGACGACAGAGGUCUGUGAGUCCCUAUAGCCGGAGACGGUCAUCCAGCUACGAAAGGAGCGGCUCUUACAGCGGGAGAUCACCCAGUCCCUAUGGUCGAAGGCGAUCUAGCAGCCCUUUCUUGAGCAAGAGGUCUCUGAGUCGGAGUCCGAUCCCCAGUAGGAAAUCCAUGAAGUCCAGAAGCAGAAGUCCUGCAUAUUCAAGACACUCAUCUUCUCAUAGUAAAAAGAAGAGAUCCGGGUCACACAGCCGUCAUUCCAGUAUCUCACCUGUCAGGCUUCCAUUGAAUUCCAGCCUGGGAGCUGAACUCAGUAGGAAAAAGAAGGAAAGAGCAGCUGCUGCAGCAGCAGCAAAAAUGGAUGGAAAAGAUUCUAAGGGUUCACCCAUCACUCUGACUAAAAAAGAUAAAGUUGAGGUGAAGGAGUCAGGGGUAGAGUCUAAAAAGUUACCCAGAGGUAUAAAGUCAGAAAAAUCUAUCCCAGAUACUGAACUGAUAAAUGUAGCACAUUCAAACACAGAGGUAAAAAAUUGUUUAGAUGUAGGGAAAGUUAAGUUGGAUGAGAACCUGCAGAAGCAUCCUGUUCUUAAGGAUUUGAAAGCUCAGGGAGUAAAAGACACUAAACCUGUAGCACUGAAGGAGGUGAUUGUUACUUCUAAGGAGACAGAGACUUCAGAAAAGGAGGCCCUUCCACCUCUCCCCACAAUUACUUCUCCACCCCCUUUACCAUCUACUACCCCUCCACCUCAGGCACCCCCUUUGCCACCUUUGCCUCCACUACCAGCUAUUCCACUGCAGCCACCUCUGCCUCCUCCCCAACCACCAUCUAGUCAAGCUCCUGUUUCUAGUGCUUCAACUUUGCCCUCUUCUCACCCAAGGACAUCUACUCUGUGCUCUCAGACAAAUUCUCAGCCCCCUGUACAGGUUUCUGUGAAGACUCAAGUAUCUGUAACAGCUGCUAUUCCACAUCUGAAAACUUCAACAUUGCCUCCUCUGCCCCUCCCUCCCUUGUUACCUGGAGAUGAUGAUAUGGAUAGUCCAAGAGAAAUGGUUCCAUCAAAGCCUGCAAAGAAAGAGAAGGAGCAGAGAACUCGCCACCUACUCACCGAUUUGCCUCUUCCUCCUGAGCUACCAGGUGGUGAUCCAUCUCCCCCAGAUUCUCCAGAGCCAAAGGUGAUUACGCCUCCUCAACAACCAUAUAAAAAGAGACCAAAAAUUUGUUGUCCUCGUUAUGGAGAAAGAAGACAAACAGAAAGUGACUGGGGGAAGCGAUGUGUGGAUAAAUUUGACAUUAUUGGGAUUAUUGGAGAAGGAACGUAUGGCCAAGUAUAUAAAGCCAAGGACAAAGACACAGGAGAACUAGUAGCUCUGAAGAAGGUUCGACUAGAUAAUGAGAAAGAGGGCUUCCCAAUCACAGCCAUCCGAGAGAUCAAAAUCCUUCGUCAGUUAGUACAUCGAAGUGUUGUUAACAUGAAGGAAAUUGUUACAGACAAACAAGAUGCACUGGAUUUCAAGAAAGACAAAGGUGCCUUUUACCUUGUAUUUGAAUAUAUGGACCAUGACUUAAUGGGACUACUAGAAUCAGGUUUGGUGCACUUUUCUGAGGACCAUAUCAAGUCAUUCAUGAAACAGCUAAUGGAAGGAUUGGAUUACUGUCACAAAAAGAAUUUCCUCCAUCGGGAUAUUAAAUGUUCUAACAUUUUGCUGAAUAACAGUGGGCAAAUCAAACUAGCAGAUUUUGGACUUGCUCGGCUAUAUAACUCUGAAGAAAGUCGCCCUUACACAAACAAAGUCAUUACUUUGUGGUAUCGACCUCCAGAACUGCUACUGGGAGAGGAGAGAUACACACCAGCCAUUGAUGUUUGGAGCUGUGGAUGUAUUCUUGGGGAACUGUUCACAAAGAAACCUAUUUUUCAAGCCAAUUUGGAACUGGCUCAGCUAGAACUGAUCAGUCGUCUCUGUGGUAGCCCUUGUCCAGCAGUGUGGCCUGAUGUUAUUAAGCUGCCCUACUUCAACACCAUGAAACCGAAGAAGCAAUAUAGGAGACGUCUAAGAGAAGAAUUCUCUUUCAUUCCUUCAGCAGCUCUUGAUUUAUUGGACCACAUGCUGACACUUGAUCCUAGCAAGCGUUGCACAGCUGAACAGACCCUGCAGAGUGACUUCCUUAAAGAUGUAGAACUCAGCAAAAUGGCACCUCCAGACCUACCUCACUGGCAGGAUUGCCAUGAAUUGUGGAGUAAGAAACGUCGACGCCAGCGACAAAGUGGCAUUGUAAUAGAAGAACCACCUCCGCCCAAAGCUUCUCGAAAAGAAACUACCUCAGGGACAACAGUUGAGCCUGUGAAGAACAGUAGCCCAGCACCACCUCAGCCUGCUCCUGUCAAGGCAGAGCCUGCUCCUGGGGAUGCAGUAGGUCUUGGUGACAUCACACAGCAGUUGAAUCAAAGUGAAUUGGCAGUCUUAUUAAACCUGCUACAGAGCCAAACUGACCUGAGCAUCCCUCAAAUGGCACAGCUGCUUAAUAUCCACUCCAACCCAGAGAUGCAACAGCAGCUAGAAGCCUUGAAUCAAUCUAUUAGUGCACUGACUGAAGCCAGUUCCCAGCAGCAGGACUCAGAAUCCAUAGCCCCAGAGGAAUCGUUGAAGGAGGUACCCUCUGUAUCAGUGGUCAUGCCUUCAGCAGAACAGACAACUCCUGAAGCCUCAAAUACACCAGCUGACAUGCAGAAUAUGUUGGCAGUUCUCUUGAGUCAGCUGAUGAAAACCCAAGAGCCAGCAGGUGACCUGGAGGAAAACACCAGUGACAAGAAUAGUGGGCCACAGGGACCCCGAAGAACUCCUACAUUGCCACAGGAGGAGGCAGCAGCAUGUCCUCCUCACAUUCUUCCACCAGAGAAGAGGCCCCCUGAGCCCCCUGGACCUCCACCGCUGCCACCUCCACCCCCUCUGGUUGAAGGCGAUCUUUCCAGCGCCCCCCAGGAGUUGAAUCCCGCCGUGACAGCCGCCUUGCUGCAACUUUUAUCCCAGCCUGAAGCAGAGCCUCCUGGCCACCUGCCACAUGAGCACCAGGCCUUGAGACCAAUGGAGUACUCCACCCGAUCCCAUCCAAACAGGACUUAUGGAAACACUGAUGGGCCUGAAGCUGGUUUCAGUGCCGCUGACACUGAUGAACGCAGUUCUGGUCCAGCCUUGACAGAAUCUUUGGUCCAGACCCUGGUGAAGAACAGGACCUUUUCAGGCUCUGUGAGCCACCUUGGGGAGUCCAACAGUUACCAGGGCACAGGAUGGCAGCAACAGGAAUGGCCCCUGAAGAACUCGGGGACAUCCGUCAGUUACCUUGCAUCCAGAGCCUGUCAAACAGUCUCAUCCACAAUACUUGAAGUCAGGUUCAGUGGAAGAUUCUACCUAUCCAGAUACUGCCUGAGGCACCCGAAGUAGAGGCCUGCAGCCUGCCUCCUCUGUCUUCACUACUCAGAACCAGCACCUCCACCUUCCUUCCCUGCUAAUAUGGAAUCCAAGACCCAGAGAGGAAGAACCAAUGGAAUCCUGCUCUAAAGUUGCUUUAUGUUUUGGAUUUGGAGAGUUCCUGGGAGCACAGGGCAAGAAAAAGUAGAGCCAUAGACAGAAAGGAAAGCAGAGAAAGGCAUUGACAGAGGUACCAGUGCUAUGGUGCCAAAAAGAAACAACGGGCCAGAGAUGAAGCCAGGAGGAGAUGUCUGCUUCUGAAACAGCAUACUUGUCCCAUCUUCUUCCUUUUACAUGCCGCUGAGGUGAUAGGACCAAGUGUGCCAGCUCCCCUGGCUGGUGCGCCUGUUCCACUGUGCAGGCAGCCAGGACCCUGCCCUGCACAGAGCACAUACUAGGGUCUCACACUCUGUUGCUCACUCAUCUCUGUCUGUGUUGCAGAUUCCUAAGGAUGAAAUAGAGGCUGUGGCCCUGUGGUAGGACUUUGGUGUGCACUGGGGAUCACUGGAUACAUAUUUGCCUGUCUGUAAGAGGGGGUGGAAGAAGGCUGCUGCAUCUCAGCAGAGCUUGAGGUUCUGGUGACUCACAGUAAUGGGGGUGGUUCAUGAAAACAACAGAGGGGAAGGGGGAUCAAGUCUGCUAGAGUUUUCUUUUGCCCCAGUCCUGCCCACUCUGAGCUCUAUAGAUGAAAAAUCUCUCAUCGAGAUUAGGAGAUGUCCCAGCUAUGAAAGAAAGGGAGAGAUGAGAAGGAAGUAAGCAGGAGAUACUGAAUUUUCCUAGUGAAGAAAGACUGAGACAUCACCUGCCAUCUCCACAGGCUACAUGGAGAAUAUUUGACAUCCGUUGUGGCAGGGCAGCCCAGAAAUCCUGGGUUCCUUCCAAAAGAGAGGUUUUCCUGGCAAACAGCUAUUACUAUUGUUCCUCAGUAGCUGCCUAUGACUUUGUAUAUCCAGCUAACAUAAAACUUGGGGCAAGGGGGGAGGGGUGUUGUUUAUUGGUUAUUGAGACAAUCUGAUUAUGGAGCUGGCCCAAGCCGGCCUCCAAAGUCUUCCAAUGUGCUGUAACUAUAAGCAUGUACUACCAUGCCUAAUGCCAGAAAUUUCUUUUUGAAGAUUCUUUUAUGUGCGUGGGUGUUUUGCCUGCAUGUAUGUCUGUAUGUGAAAUGUGUUUCUGGUGACUGUGCGGUGGUCAGAAGCGAGCAGCAGAUUUUCUGGAACUGGAGUUACAGAUGGUUGUGAGCUGCCUUGUGGGUGCUGGGAACUGAACCUGCAUCUCUGCAAGAGCAGCAAAUGCUCUUAACCACUCUGCCAUCUCUUCAGCCACAAUUUCUUAAUAGAAAAACAAAAACAAAGCAAAUACUACUACAAGGCCAGACCCAGGAAGGAUUGCCACCUGUGCUUAGUGCUGUCCUCACGAGAACAGACAGGCACCUUGGACCAGAGAAGCAUCUAGAGACACUGAGACUGCUGAGUAGGGUAUUGGUACAGGCUGGGAAGUGACUGCAGCCACCGAUGUUCAGAAGUGCUGGCGUUGUUCUCCCUCACUGCUCAGGUGUGCAUCUCCAUUCUCUCUCAGUCCGUGACUGGAAUUGACAAAAAGAACAACAGAGAUUAAAUACUGGUAUAUCUAGGUACAUGAUAAUAAACAUCCUGACCUCUGGCCUCAUAGAAGAGAGGCUUGGGCGGGUAUUCUGUGAUAGAUUAUGAGUUCUUGUUUGUCUUUUUCUGUUCCUUUUAUUGUUGGAAGCUCUACUUUCUAACUAGAAUGAGGGUGCUCUUCCCAUCUGCUGGUGAUCCAGAAAUGACUUUGGUUUAUCAAGGACAGAUUAACUAUUCUUCACGCAGGAAGAUGAGGUCAGUUUUCCUCUUCCUCCUUCCUGGCAGUGUAAGGAGCGCUGGGACCCAUUACUAAAGCUUAAUUCUGACCUAAGCUAUCGUAUCAUCUGGCCCUGGAUAUAAAGCUUGUACUAUGAGGGGAGCCUAGAUAUACAGUGAGGUAUGGGCAGGAGUGGGGGACUUUAGCCCCAGGAAAGAUACCACAUUCUCCUUGAUCCUCUUCCUUCCCAAAUCCCUUUCUUUACUCCCUUUCACCUCCCACUGGCCAGCUCAGUUCUUGGCCACCUGAUUACCUCCGAUCUGACCAGAUAUGAUAAGUAGUUAUCACUCCUUACACCUCCUUCCACUUCUUUCUUCACAGCUGAGAGAUAGCUGAAUUUGAAUUGUUUCUACCACUGAAUAUCACAGGAUCUGAAUUAUAUUCCCAGCCUCUGCUGCCCAGCUUGACUCCACGACUGCCUUUGGAUUGGGAAGCUCUCAUCAGCCCCUGCAAGUAUACCCAGGCCUAGACUGCUAUGUUUGUGGCAUCAAGACCCUGCUCUGGAGUAGAGAGCGACUUUAGAGGUGCAACUGGGGCCUUGGCCCUAAAUGUGUGUAUGCCUGUGCAUUGGGCACACUGGUUUAUUAGUGUUAUUUCAGCAUUGUGAUGCAGAGAGAGUAAGUGUAACAGCUGCUCCUUGCUUGCAGUGUUUAUUGUUACCUAGAGACAACCUCCUGGCUUUUUCCCAGAUUCCCCCCCAAGCCCAGCCCCCUCCCUGCCCUGCCAACAAUCCUGUUCUCUCCACACUGAUGGGAAAUUUAUAGCUUGCCUAUAUCAUACCAUUAACUCUCUCCUGUCCAUAGGGUAUAUGGGUCAAGGGAAACCAAAGUGGAGAUUGGCAUGCUUUGGGUCCAGAAUGAAAUAAUGUAUAAAGAACAGAGGGAGGAAGGAGAAUUAUUCUUCCAUUCUAUGUCCAAUUUUAGGCCCCAGUUCUGCAAUCCAAGUAGGUCUGACACUGCUUAGUUUCUGAGAACAGAUGAGAUCAGUCACAUUUGCGGUGGUAGGGCCAUAACCCAGUUGAUCUCCUGGCUCUUGUAUGAGAAGAAAAGAAGGAAGAGUUUUGGAUCUGGUCUUGACAUCCUAGAAGAGCUCCUCUGAACCUAGCCUUGGGAUCUUGACAUCUUCCUGCCAAAAUUAUUCUCUUUCCUGACCAUCUCUUUAGUCCUUUAUUGGGUUGUCUAAAUUUGAGCAAAUGCAGCAAGAUAGUUUUGGAAUGGAAGGGGAAUACAGAGUGGCAGAAUCCAUAGCACCUCCUUCUUGUCUGAGCAAGGUAACUGGAUGUCACAUGGAGGCAGGAGGUUCUAGUUUGAGAAAUGCUGGCUAGACCACCACAAUGGAAUUGAUGUCAGACAUGAAGCCUGCUGUGGAGCCUGUUGGGAAAACAUUUACCUGCUAAGGUCCUAAGAGACUUCAGGCAUUCUUGCAGCUGGCCUUCUUGAUUUGAUUGAAGUUCUCUUCUGCUUGUCUUUCAUGGUCCAUUUUCUUGAAUUGCUCUUAGUUUGAUACCUUCGGGUAGAUCCAAGUGACUGAGAAGAGAGAAGUGCUCUCCCUAUUCAUAAUCUCAGCAGAGACAGACAGAACCCCUGCCAUCUACUUAGGACUUUUCAUAGGGGAGAGCCAUGUACCUAUUCACCAUCCACAUGGAAGCAGAAGAGAGAGAAAAUGAUUUUAAUGGAAAGGGUUGAAUUAAGCAUAUGAAAAACUUACUCGUGAAAUGAAAUAGUUCUCUUCAUACUCUGUCCUUCUGCCUAUAAUGAAUUUGUCUGUGCCUACCCAAGGGACAUUGAGUAACAUGGUUCUUUUUCCAGAUCUCCUUCACAUAGAUAGCCUCAGCACAGUUUCCCCAUAGUGCAGUACUCUUUGAGACUUUGAAAUGUUGUUUUAGGGUGGUUAGAUUGCAUUGCAGAGGCAUUCCUGGGUUCUGGUACCAGCCAUACUUCCCUAGUUUGAAAUGCAAAUGGCAGUAAUCCCUUGAGAAGCCCACCUCCACAUUCUUGGGUAUGUCUUACAUUUUUGUUCAAGUGCCUUUCUUUAACUGCAGUGAUUAAAAUCUCUUAAUUCCAUUGUUUCAGAACAAAUUUUAAAAAAUAAAUGCAAAUAAACUAUGUUUUUCAAGAUUGUGACAAUUUCAUCAGAGUGUAUAAAGCCUAAUUCUCAAAAGGUCUCAGUCAGCAGUAUUUAAUACAUUCAAUUAUUAUUGGUUUUUGUCUGUUUUAUUUUUAUGUGUAUGGGUGUUCUGCUUGUUUGUCUGUGAACCAUGACUCUACCUGGUACCCACAGACAUAAGAAGCUGUCAUCAGAUCUCCUGGAACUGGAGAUACAGAUUUAUUAUAAGCUACCAUGUGGAUGCUAGGAGUCAAUUCAGGUCCAUCUCAAGAGUGAUAAGUGCUCCUAAUCCUGAGCCAUCUCUCCAGCCCCAAAUUCUACUGUCUUUAUGAACUCGUAGACCUGACAUUGCUUAAAGAUUGCAUGAUUCCCUGAAGAUUAUUUCUAUGUGUUUGUGUGUGUAUACAAGCUUGGGAGAUUGUCCAGACAUUUCUUUAUGAUACGAAGGAAAGGUAGCAGUCCCCCUGUAGAGGAAGUAACCCUCUUUUCAUUUUUCCUAAUUUCUGUCCCUCUAUAGUCAAGAGAAAAGCCACUGUUUCCAGACUAUAUCUAAGCUUCAUUCAGGAUAGAUCUGAGAGCAGUAGCCAAUAAGAAGUAUAGCAACUAGCACUUAUCAGGUAUUUCAGUUUGUUAAAUGUAUUUAUAUACAUUAUCCUACUGUCUAUCCACCAGGCAUUUUACUGUGUGUAUAUUUUGUAUAUAUAUGUUUAAAGUCUAUUGUAUUACCUAGACUUACUGAAAUAUAAGGCUCACUUCCUAUUGUUUGUUUUAAAGAUCUACUUUGAUUUAUGUGUAUGAGUAUUUUCUUGCAUGUCUGAUGUCCA